rnacentral:rRNA from 1 species
GACGAACGCUGGCGGCGUGCUUAACACAUGCAAGUCGAACGGAAAGGCCCUGCUUUUGUGGGGUGCUCGAGUGGCGAACGGGUGAGUAACACGUGAGUAACCUGCCCUUGACUUUGGGAUAACUUCAGGAAACUGGGGCUAAUACCGGAUAGGAGCUCCUGCUGCAUGGUGGGGGUUGGAAAGUUUCGGCGGUUGGGGAUGGACUCGCGGCUUAUCAGCUUGUUGGUGGGGUAGUGGCUUACCAAGGCUUUGACGGGUAGCCGGCCUGAGAGGGUGACCGGCCACAUUGGGACUGAGAUACGGCCCAGACUCAUACGGGAGGCAGCAGUGGGGAAUAUUGCACAAUGGGCGGAAGCCGGAUGCAGCAACGCCGCGUGCGGGAUGACGGCCUUCGGGUUGUAAACCGCUUUCGCCUGUGACGAAGCGUGAGUGACGGUAAUGGGUAAAGAAGCACCGGCUAACUACGUG